rnacentral:rRNA from 1 species
AACGCUAGCUACAGGCUUAACACAUGCAGGUCGAGGGGCAGCAUCAUCAAAGCUUGCUUUGAUGGAUGGCGACCGGCGCACGGGUGAGUAACACGUAUCCAACCUGCCGACAACACUGGGAUAGCCUUUCGAAAGAAAGAUUAAUACCGGAUGGCAUAAUUAUUCCGCAUGGGAUAAUUAUUAAAGAAUUUCGGUUGUCGAUGGGGAUGCGUUCCAUUAGGCAGUUGGCGGGGUAACGGCCCACCAAACCUACGAUGGAUAGGGGUUCUGAGAGGAAGGUCCCCCACAUUGGAACUGAGACACGGUCCAAACUCCUACGGGAGGCAGCAGUGAGGAAUAUUGGUCAAUGGACGAGAGUCUGAACCAGCCAAGUAGCGUGAAGGAUGACUGUCCUAUGGGUUGUAAACUUCUUUUAUACGGGAAUAAAGUUAGCCACGUGUGGUUUUUUGUAUGUACCGUAUGAAUAAGGAUCGGCUAACUCCGUGCCAGCAGCCGCGGUAAUACGGAGGAUCCGAGCGUUAUCCGGAUUUAUUGGGUUUAAAGGGAGCGUAGGCGGGUUGUUAAGUCAGUUGUGAAAGUUUGCGGCUCAACCGUAAAAUUGCAGUUGAUACUGGCGACCUUGAGUGCAACAGAGGUAGGCGGAAUUCGUGGUGUAGCGGUGAAAUGCUUAGAUAUCACGAAGAACUCCGAUUGCGAAGGCAGCUUACUGGAUUGUAACUGACGCUGAUGCUCGAAAGUGUGGGUAUCAAACAGGAUUAGAUACCCUGGUAGUCCACACAGUAAACGAUGAAUACUCGCUGUUGGCGAUAUACGGUCAGCGGCCAAGCGAAAGCAUUAAGUAUUCCACCUGGGGAGUACGCCGGCAACGGUGAAACUCAAAGGAAUUGACGGGGGCCCGCACAAGCGGAGGAACAUGUGGUUUAAUUCGAUGAUACGCGAGGAACCUUACCCGGGCUUAAAUUGCAACUGACGGAAUCGGAAACGGUUCUUUCUUCGGACAGUUGUGAAGGUGCUGCAUGGUUGUCUUCAGCUCGUGCCGUGAGGUGUCGGUUUAAGUGCCAUAACGAGCGCAACCCUUACGGGUAGUUACCAUCAGGUUAUGCUGGGGACUUUACCCGGACUGCCGUCGUAAGAUAUGUAGGAAGGUGGUGUCGAGUGUCCAAUCAGCACGAUCCC